rnacentral:rRNA from 1 species
CAGUAGCCACGGUAAGACAGAGGAUGCAAGCGUUAUCCGGAAUGAUUGGGCGUAAAGGGCUCGCAGGCGGUUUCUUAAGUCUGAUGUGAAAGCCCCCGGCUCAACCGGGGAGGGUCAUUGGAAACUGGGAAACUUGAGUGCAGAAGAGGAGAGUGGAAUUCCACGUGUAGCGGUGAAAUGCGUAGAGAUGUGGAGGAACACCAGUGGCGAAGGCGACUCUCUGGUCUGUAACUGACGCUGAGGAGCGAAAGCGUGGGGAGCGAACAGGAUUAGAUACCCGUGUAGUCCCUGUCUCUUAUAC